AUUAAGGGCGCACGGUGGAUGCCUUGGCACUAGAAGCCGAUGAAGGACGUUACUAACGACGAUAUGCUUUGGGUAGCUGUAAGUAAGCGUUGAUCCAGAGAUUUCCGAAUGGGGGAACCCAGCAUGAGUUAUGUCAUGUUAUCGACAUGUGAAUUCAUAGCAUGUCAGAAGGCAGACCCGGAGAACUGAAACAUCUUAGUACCCGGAGGAAGAGAAAGAAAAAUCGAUUCCCUGAGUAGCGGC
rnacentral:rRNA from 1 species